rnacentral:rRNA from 1 species
GGAUCCAGACUUUGAUCCUGGCUCAGGAUGAACGCUAGCUACAGGCUUAACACAUGCAAGUCGAGGGGCAGCGGGAUUGAAGCUUGCUUCAAUUGCCGGCGACCGGCGCACGGGUGUGUAACGCGUAUCCAACCUUCCGUACACUCAGGGAUAGCCUUUCGAAAGAAAGAUUAAUACCUGAUAGUAUCUUAAGCACACAUGUAAUUAAGAUUAAAGAUUUAUCGGUGUACGAUGGGGAUGCGUUCCAUUAGGUAGUAGGCGGGGUAACGGCCUACCUAGCCAACGAUGGAUAGGGGUUCUGAGAGGAAGGUCCCCCACAUUGGAACUGAGACACGGUCCAAACUCCUACGGGAGGCAGCAGUGAGGAAUAUUGGUCAAUGGACGAGAGUCUGAACCAGCCAAGUAGCGUGAAGGAUGAAGGUCCUACGGAUUGUAAACUUCUUUUAUAAGGGAAUAAACCCUCCCACGUGUGGGAGCUUGUAUGUACCUUAUGAAUAAGCAUCGGCUAACUCCGUGCCAGCAGCCGCGGUAAUACGGAGGAUGCGAGCGUUAUCCGGAUUUAUUGGGUUUAAAGGGAGCGCAGACGGGUCGUUAAGUCAGCUGUGAAAGUUUGGGGCUCAACCUUAAAAUUGCAGUUGAUACUGGCGUCCUUGAGUGCGGUUGAGGUGUGCGGAAUUCGUGGUGUAGCGGUGAAAUGCUUAGAUAUCACGAAGAACUCCGAUUGCGAAGGCAGCACACUAAUCCGUAACUGACGUUCAUGCUCGAAAGUGUGGGUAUCAAACAGGAUUAGAUACCCUGGUAGUCCACACGGUAAACGAUGGAUACUCGCUGUUGGCGAUAUACUGUCAGCGGCUUAGCGAAAGCGUUAAGUAUCCCACCUGGGGAGUACGCCGGCAACGGUGCAACUCAAAGGAAUUGACGG